GAACACUUUCCUUCCUAUUAUACAUGUAGAAGUAGUACAGAAAGUGAAGUUGACUAAACAAUAUGGUGAACCAAGACACCCUUCAUCUCCCCUACAAAUACAAUACAAAAUCAUUCAUGUCUUGUAAAAACUGUAGACAAAAUUGUGACCUUUGAUUGCUGUGCUAAUCAUUCAUUCUCUUGCCACUUGAUAUCUAUCAACAAAUCGAAGAUCUUUGUUUAGAUUUCUCAUUUCCUUCUGUGUUUGCUUCUAUUAACUUUCACAAUCUUCCGACCUGAUUUGUCAGGACCACUGCUACCCAGAGAGAAGCUCCCUCCACCGCCAAAUUCUUGACUGUUUGAUGCUGCAAACAGAGAAGAGUUUUGAGGUGCUGCCUGCACUAGAUUGCUUGAUGCUGCAAAUGGAGAUGGAUUCUGGGGAGCAGCGUGACUCUGCUGGCCGCCAAACUGGAAUGGAUUUGGUGCUGAACCAAAUGCAAAACCACCUGGAGAAGGCGAGACAGAAGGUUGCCCAAAAGAAACUGCAGGUGCAGGAGCCUGCACAAGAUCCUCGGCCAUGCUGUCUUCCAUG
rnacentral:misc_RNA from 1 species